rnacentral:rRNA from 1 species
ACGCUCGACACCUACGGGGGGCAGCAGUGGGGAAUAUUGCACAAUGGGGGAAACCCUGAUGCAGCGACGCCGCGUGAGCGAAGAAGUAUCUCGGUAUGUAAAGCUCUAAUCAGCAGGGAAGAAGAUGACGGUACCUGACUAAGAAGCACCGGCUAAAUACGUGCAGCAGCCGCGGUAAUCUGAGCGGGCUGGCAAGGC